UUGUGAGCUGUCCCACAGAGAGACCACGUGACCAGAAAUAGGGGGUUGCCACGGACAACCGUGGCCAGGAAACUGAAGCCCUCAGUCCAACAACCUUGCAAGGAAUGACAUCCGGCCACCUGCCACAGGAUCUUUCCCCAGUCGAGCUUCAGAGACUCCAGCCCCGGGUGACGGUUUGCUUAUAGUCUUGUAAGAGACCCCAAAGUAAAGGGCACAGCUUCGCUGACCGACAGAAAGUGUGAGAUGAUAAAUAGCAAUAAAGAACUAGGGGGUUGGGAUUCAGAUUUCCUCAAACACCGGGAGCAUUCAGGGGGAUUCCCUUCACACACAGGAUUUCUACACAGCUCCUUGGAAGCAAAGCAGAGAAGCGAGAUAUUUACCCAGAUGUUCAUGGAGCCCUACUCCAGGCACUGUGUUCACUGCCGGAGAUACAAAGUAGACAAGAUGCACUUGUUUCUUGCACAGGACACGGCCUUGGCCUCGGGGAGUUUAGAAAUAAAAAAUGGCAGCAACAAUA